CAAUUUUUUAGCGACAAGGCGAGUCUCCCUAAAGAGACUCGCCUUGUUAAAAACA
rnacentral:miRNA from 1 species